rnacentral:rRNA from 1 species
AUACGGAGGUGGCUAGCGUUGUUCGGAAUUACUGGGCGUAAAGCGCGCGUAGGCGGAUCGUUAAGUCAGGGGUGGAAGCCCGGAGCUCAACUCCGGAACUGCCCUUGAUACUGGCGAUCUCGAGUCCGGGAGAGGUGAGCGGAAUUCCUAGUGUAGAGGUGAAAUUCGUAGAUAUUAGGAGGAACACCAGUGGCGAAGGCGGCUCACUGGCCCGGUACUGACGCUGAGGUGCGAAAGCGUGGGGAGCAAACGGGAUUAGAAACCCUAGUAGUCC